GGGUCUACAUCAGCGUCUGCAACA
rnacentral:siRNA from 1 species